AAUAGGUUGGCAGAUAAAUGCAAAUAAUUUAGGAUUAUUAUAUGAAUAUUUUUCACCUAUUA
rnacentral:tRNA from 1 species